CACGUAGGGGGCAAGCGUUGUCCGGAUUUAUUGGGCGUAAAGAGCUCGUAGGUGGCUUAGUAAGUCGGGUGUGAAACCUCCAGGCUCAACCUGGAGACGCCACCCGAUACUGCUAUAGCUUGAGUCCGGUAGGGGAGCGUGGAAUUCCUGGUGUAGCGGUGAAAUGCGCAGAUAUCAGGAAGAACACCAAUGGCGAAAGCAGCUUUCUGGGACGGUACUGACGCUGAGACGCGAAAGCGUGGGGAGCGAACAGG
rnacentral:rRNA from 1 species